rnacentral:rRNA from 1 species
UACGAGUACCCCAAGCGUUAUCCGGAAUCAUUGGGCGUAAAGGGUGUGUAGGCGGUUUGGUUAGUCUUCUGUCAAAACUUCGGGCUUAACCCGAGAUCUGCAGGGGAAACGGCCAGACUAGAGGGUGCGAGAGGUGAAUGGAACUCAUGGAGUAGGGGUGAAAUCCGUUGAUAUCAUGGGGAACACCGAAAGCGAAGGCAAUUCACUGGCGCAUUUGUGACGCUGAAACACGAAAGCGUGGGUAGCGAACGGG